GCUGAAGUGGGUCAGGCUGCUUUGCACCCCGGGCUCCAGGCAGGGUGUGGGGCGACUGGCACCCAACGGCGACCUGUCCUGCGACAUCAGGUCCAUAAACUCCUUGCAAAUCUCCCUGAAGACAUUAAAUGAGAAAUACUCAGCUGUGGCCCGGGCAGGGAACUCGGUCUCGCACACAUACCCGAAGUCCCGUGCGAGGUGAACCGCCUCACCUGAGAAGAGAGCGUGAAGAUUGAAAAAAUGGAACUUGAAUGUGCUGACUCAAAACUUGAGUACCUUCCACCAGCGCUGUGAGGAGUGUGACGUUGGCUGCCUUUCGUCGACCGGCAGGCAGGUUGAGGCCGAUCUUCUCCAGACGUUCUCGCAGACAGCGGCCCCCGUUUUUGGACUUGGCUCUGAAGGAGAAAAGGACUCCUCCCAGCAGUGAGGCGUUGAGGCACUCAGGUGGAGCCAGGCGUCUCUGGACUUCUCCAACUGUGACCUUGUACUUAGAGGUGGAGCUGAGGAGCGACAAGCGGCCCGGGACAGAGCAGAAAACCUCUGCAGGGUUGGACACACAUCCCAAACCCAGGCCUUCUUUAGUGAGGGACAAGGCAGAGACCGCUGAGCCAUUUAGCUUUGAUGGGACUGGAACUGUAAGAAGAAACAGAAAGCAGUUUAGGGUUUGUGUGCCACCACAGGUGAGUGAAAUCUUAUUUUAAAGAAAGUGACGAUUUAUAAAAAUGUGAUAAUUUGUGCUUUUGGAUUCGCCCCUAUGUUCGAAAACCUUUUUAAGAUGCUCUCCCACAGGUUGACAUCUGUUGUCUCAGUGACACUGUGUUUAAUUUCUGUUUCUCACUCUUUAUCUUCAAAUGGGUGUUGCAUCUCCAUUGGGGGAAAGCUUUAUUCCAUCUGUUGUGCACACAGUCAUUUUCACUUGUUGUGUUGGUAAUUAAAGUUUUCUGGCAUCUUAAAAAUCUGACUUUCAAAUGAACCCAACGAUUACUGUGCCGAAAAUAACACAAUGUAAUAAAAUGGCAAACAUAAAACAGAAGAUUAGGCUGUUAUGCAUUAACCCAUUUUAAAGCAGACAUUGUAUAAAGAUUUUUGCCCCAGUAAACCAAGGCACUUAAAGGAAUGAGACAUAAACCUCCAUUCAAACUCUAAUAAUGAUUAGUGUUCUGGGAAGAACAGACUAUCAUUGGCUUUUAAUUUGGGCUUGAGUAUUUUUGUUACAUCAUUCCUAAAAACCUUCAUUUGUUUUCAAAAGAUUAGCCUCUAUGCAGACACUUAAUCGAGCAUUUGCUUAUGGCACAUCUGUGUGGGCUGGAUUUUCAAGCACACUUCAAUAGAACUAGAGAAAAUGCAGAGUAUGCAUGUAUUAGGAAAAUCUGCUACAUGGGUGUAUGAAUUAUUCAAAAAGUGGAGGGUUGGGGGGAACAUUCUGGCUAAGAAAAAACUGCCCAAGGUGACUCUGUUUACCUGGCUUGGUUGGUCUGUUGGCUGGUUUUAGAGAGAUUCGGGCACCUUUAGCAUGAUAGGGCUAAGAGACCAGGUAAGCAACAGCUUUGCCAAGCUAGGAAACCAUCUAAACUAAAUCCAGUGUUAGUUUACCCAAAUAAACCAUGGUUUUAUUAUAGGCCUGUUAGUUUAACCGUUUUACUACAGAUACAAUGUUUAAAUUAGUUAGUAUAACAAAAUCAUGGUUAAUUUGUGGUUGCCAUGGUUUAACAAUAUUUGGGGUUUUAUUUGACCCAAAUUGGGUUGAAACAACCCCUCCACCUAUAUUUCUUCUAAAGAACCCAACAAAAUAUUCAAGAAGCUGAACAAAGUAAAAAAAUUAGUUUACUUUUUUGUUUGUUUUUAAUUAGCUAAAAAAACUCAAACGCUACAAGUCGCGUUUGUUUAAGGUAGGCCUACGUUUUAGGUUAAAAAUUCAGUUUAUUUUAAAGAACACAUCGACGACAAUAUAAGUAGGCUACAAGAAGGCCUUCUUUAAGACUAUUAGAAGACAGUUAGAAAACUACUGACAGAAACGAUUUAAAAAAUCGGCUGUUCUGAAAGUAUUUGUAGCUAUCAUUUACAUUAUUCAAGUGUAGUAUUCAUCCAUCCUCCAAAAAGUAGAAUUCUAAAUGUUUAUGAAGUGAUAAUAGGCCUAUGCCACAUCUGCCUUCAUAUGCCACAGCUAUCACUGCGCUCCCGCAUGUUUUCGCGCGCUGUGGCGCUGAAACAGCUCUUCUCUCCUCCCCCUUUUGCAAGGAUUGGCACAUAACACACUGUGUUACUGUUUAUAUUAUCUAUAUCCCUGAUUGUAGAGGUAAAAUGCGCUGUAGUAUUGGCUUUCUCCUCUUCGUGGGCGGUGUGCACGUCUUCGCUAUGCCCUGCUGUGUAGCACUGAUUGGCGGACACAAACGAGCUCUGAGCGCGCGGCCGAGGUGCUGGAAGCAUCUCUCAUAAGCUGUGAGAGUAGAUCCGUUUAUUCAUGUAGGCUUUAGUUUCUUCUCGACACAGAAAUCUCCCUACACCCAUGAGUACAUAAUUGAUCCAUUCUGUUGCUCGGUAAAUAGGCGAGAUUUCAUAGAGCACUAAAUAAAUCUAAAAUAAAUGCAUAAGUAAUUGAUGAAAAUAUGCUGUAGCGUACUGCACUGCAGAAAGUGAUUUCAGAAGCUAUCGUCAUUAACUAUCCACUGAUUUUUUUUUAAUGGUAAGUGGAAAGGAAUAGUAAUGCUCUGAAUUCUUCAUAACUUUAUUAUCUGCACUCUUCCUCCAUUUCGGCUUUCUCUAAUCCCUCUCUUUCUCGCAUAUGACCAUGAACAGUUCAUUAACAGCAACUGCCUUAAGGGUGAAGGCAGGGUGCUACAGGAUUUCUUGACUUCAAAUGAAAUUGCAGAGCUGAAUUAUUGUGUGUGUGUGUGUGUGUGUGUGUGCGCGUGUGCGUGUGUGCGUGUGUGUGUGCUUGACUGAAUCCUUUAUGGUGUCUGAGCAGCACAUAAAAUCUUUUUUCUUUUCCUUUUCUUUUUCAAGCAGGAGAGGUCACCCCCUCUUCUUUAUAUGCAUCAGAGGUACAGACUCUCACCUUUCUUGAUAACAGAAUGGUCCAGGAUCCCCAAAGCAGAUGCCUCCUCCAUACCCUGUUAAAACCGAACAGCAUAACACCAUUACUUCACUUAAUUUAAACUUGCUUGAUGGUUGAAUUAUUGAAAAUGUUUGAAAAACACUUGUAAUUAUUUCUCUUCUUAAUUAUUUAAAUCAUUAUGAUGUUUGUAAUGGUAAAAUUUUUCCUGAUUUAUUAAUAUAUGAAUUUCUAUCUGUAUAAUUACAGAUUAAAUAAUGUAUUUAUGAAUAUUUGUAUUUAUAUGUUGUAUUACUAUGUUCCUUAAUUGAAACUAGAUAUUUAUUAGAUAUUGAGUCUUAUAUAAAAAGUUAAAGGAAUGAGAGAUUGACAUCACGUGUCCCAGCAAUAUCAUUGACAUCCUUUAUCUUCUCCUCAGAAAUAAAAGGGGAAAAGUUCGUAAUGAGA